UAGCGGUGUUAGGGCACUAAGAAUUUUGAUUUCUUAAGAGAGGUUCAACGCCUCCUGA
rnacentral:tRNA from 1 species